rnacentral:rRNA from 1 species
UACGUAGGGGGCAAGCGUUAUCCGGAUUUACUGGGUGUAAAGGGGGCGCAGACGGCAGCACAAGCCAGGAGUGAAAGCCCGGGGCCCAACCCCGGGACUGCUCUUGGAACUGCGCGGCUGGAGUGCAGGAGGGGCAGGCGGAAUUCCUGGUGUAGCGGUGAAAUGCGUAGAUAUCAGGAGGAACACCGGUGGCGAAGGCGGCCUGCUGGACUGCGACUGACGUUGAGGCCCGAAAGCGUGGGGAGCAAACAGG